CUGGAACUAACCUUGCCGUAGAUUCAACCGACCCACCUGUCCAAUUACCGUUACAUUCACGGGACGGGCCCCUCUAGCUGAAGUGACCCCAUACACCAGGAUGAAUCUAGCUUUUUUCGUCACGUGUGUCUUCGCCUCUGUGAUACUUCUCCAAAGUGAAGAAUUACCAGGGAAGGGAGGUAACCGUAAACAGCAACCCAACCCAGUGGUGACCAGCCUGUUUGCGAGGGCGUGGUCCCGGGAUGCAGCUGCCUCGCCCCAGAUGAGCAGACUCACUAGUUUCUGUGUGACAGAGGCGUGCAUCAGGCUAAUGUUGGAAUAUGAAAAAGUCGUCCAGCAGAACGGUUCGGGGGUUUAUCCGGGCAGAUUCGGAUAGUUCAUCAGCCUAGCUCCUGUACCACAUCACAGUCUCCUCAAUCGAUUAUCACAAUCAGCAUUAAAAUUAUUAACGGCUGAUCCAAAAA